AUUGAACGCUGGCGGCAGGCUUAACACAUGCAAGUCGAGCGAGCGGCGGACGGGUGAGUAAUGUCUGGGAAACUGCCUGAUGGAGGGGGCUAACUACUGGAAACGGUAGCUAAUACAGCAUACCAUCAGAUGUGCCCAGAUGGGAUUAGCUAGUAGGUGGGGUAAUGGCUCACAUAGGCGACGAUCCCUAGCUGGUCGGAGAGGAUGACACGCCACCCUGGAACUGAGACACGGUCCAGACUCCUGCGGGAGGCAGCAGUGGGGAAUAUUGCACAAUGGGCGCAAGCCUGAUGCAGUCAUGCCGCGUGUGAGAAGAAGGCCUUCGGGUUGUAAAGCACUUUCAGCGAGGAUGCGUUACUCGCAGAAGAAGCACCGGCUAACUCCGUGCCAGCAGCCGCGGUAAUUC
rnacentral:rRNA from 1 species